CCUACGGGAGGCAGCAGUAGGGAAUCUUCCACAAUGGGCGAAAGCCUGAUGGAGCAACGCCGCGUGGGUGAAGAAGGUCUUCGGAUCGUAAAACCCUGUUGUUAGAGAAGAAAGUGCGUGCGAGUAACUGUUCACGUUUCGACGGUAUCUAACCAGACAGCCACGGCUAACUACGUGCCAGCAGCCGCGGUAAUACGUAGGUGGCAAGCGUUAUCCGGAUUUAUUGGGCGUAAAGGGAACGCAGGCGGUCUUUUAAGUCUGAUGUGAAAGCCUUCGGCUUAACCGGAGUAGUGCAUUGGAAACUGGGAGACUGGAGUGCAGAAGAGGAGAGUGGAACUCCAUGUGUAGCGGUGAAAUGCGUAGAUAUAUGGAAGAACACCAGUGGCGAAAGCGGCUCUCUGGUCUGUAACUGACGCUGAGGUUCGAAAGCGUGGGUAGCAAACAGGAUUAGAUACCCGUGUAGUC
rnacentral:rRNA from 1 species